AGAUACUUAGAAAUCAUCUGGUCCAAGCCCCCGGCUCAGAGAUGAGGACAGGGAGCCCCAGAGACCACUCGACUUGACCAAGGACACAGGAGGCUCAGGGCAGACCUGGGAGUCUCUGGGACGUGCUUGGACCUGGGCCUGUGGGACAAGGAUGAAAUCAUCAACACUGGACCCACCCUAACUCUGGUGAAAUAGGACAAGUUCUGGUCAAGAGUGGGCACUUGGACAUUGUGCCAGAGUGACAGAUCACUUGAGUUCAGAAGCAGGAAGUUUGCAAAUUCUGUUGUGGACACCAGUGCAUGUAGGUCCCUGGAAGGCACACGCUCUCUGACAUUUCCUAGAGACUGCAAUGCUUUAACUCAAGAAAGAAAUUCCUCCUAGCAAAAUCACCCUUGGGAGAGAAUGUUGGUCCUUACAGGCCAACAGUGGCUGCUCUCCCAAGGUGUUCCUUCUGGGCAAGUGGAGAGACACAGCCCCAGCAAAGAAGCCCGUGUGCUGCCUCUAGAGCCACUGGCCUCAUUUGAAUCUUCCUGAGUCUUUGAGGAUCUGGGAAGAACAUCAUCACCCCAUCUGCCCCACGAUGAUGGCCAUCCUGCGGUGAGGGUGGCUGGGGAACUGUCCCCUACCCUGCAUGGUGGGUGUGGGGGAAGGUCGGUCUGACCUGCAGCCAUCCACCUGCACCUAGACAUUCUCACCUGCUGGCUAACUCUUUACUUUUCUAGGACUGUUCCAGAAUCCCCGGGAAAGUGUGGGAAACAUUGGGCUCCACAAUCUCUGUGGACUAAUCUCAGGAUCUUCAUCCAUCAAAUGGGGGCAGCCCACCUGGCCUCCACUUGCUCCCUCCUGCGAGCGCAGAUGUGAUGACACUCCAGGGCAGCCAGGGCAGCAGCCGCUUCCCUGCCGUCUCCACAAGGACUGUU
rnacentral:lncRNA from 1 species